GGAAAUUGUCAACAAAGGGACCAGAGACUCGCAACUCCGCUCCGCACUGUGCGCCAGCAUCCCCCAGGCCCCGAGGGCGCUCCGGCCCGCCCGGAGACCCCCCGCCCAGGCUGGAGCCGGGCCCUGGGGCCCAGGAGCGGGUCCUGCCUGCUCUUUCCCGGCUGGAUGCAAGCGUAUUUUCCUGUAUGUGUUUUUUCAUGCGGCCACAAACAGCAUCAGCUGGGGUUCCCGAAGGUCAGAAAAUGGCUAUUGAUUAAUCUAUUAGAAUAGUUGCCGAGAGAAAUAAAAACGACGUAAAAUAACAGGGACCCUAUAAAUAAAGAAGCCAUAACUGGCUACUUGGAGUUGUUAAACGACUUAGCAUAUGAAAAAAUCGGAAAUGAGGCGCUGGGGAAGGAGCUGGCAUUGGCAGCGGCCCGGGUGUAGACAAAUCCUCCAAGAUUUAACUUCCAAGGAAACCAGCGGCGGAGCGGUUGGAGGAGGCGAGGAUGUGUGGCCAGUGCACGCGGAGUGCAAGGCAAGUCAGUGAUGGCCGCCUAGUUGGGAGCCGCAAGAGCCUGUGCCUGGUGUGGCAGGCACACGUAACCCAAUCCCUGUCUGUACGCUGCGGCCUGGGAGGUAAGCGCCGGCCUCACCAGAGGAAGGAGCACGAGGGGAGGAGUUCCGAGAGGAAAUAAUUAGUGAAAUAUUUGCAGAAGAUGCUGGGAUGUGGAUUUAAUUCCGGAUGGACAGUGGUGCUUCCGAUUCCUUCAGUCUGUUUCCCCAUCCACGAUCUCCUCUUUCCUUGGCCUAGAUACACCAAAAAUAAUUCAAUAAAAUAAAAAUUUAAAAAU